rnacentral:rRNA from 1 species
CGUAAAGCACUGUCGCGAGGGAAGACGAGAUAGGUUCUAACAGGACCUGUUUGAGACGGUACCUCGAGAGGAAGCACCGGCUAACUCUGUGC